GAUGAACGCUAGCGAUAGGCUUAACACAUGCAAGUCGAGGGGCAGCACAAGGUAGCUUGCUCUCUGGGUGGCGACCGGCGCACGGGUGCGUAACGCGUAUGCAACUUGCCCUAUACAGGAGGAUAACCCGUCGAAAGACGGACUAAUACUGCGUAUGCUCACAACUUGGCAUCAAGUGGUGAGGAAAGAAAUUCGGUAUAGGAUAGGCAUGCGUCCCAUUAGCUUGUUGGUGAGGUAACGGCUCACCAAGGCAACGAUGGGUAGGGGAACUGAGAGGUUUAUCCCCCACACUGGUACUGAGACACGGACCAGACUCCUACGGGAGGCAGCAGUGAGGAAUAUUGGUCAAUGGGCGCGAGCCUGAACCAGCCAAGUCGCGUGAAGGAGGACUGUCUUAUGGAUUGUAAACUUCUUUUAUACGGGAAUAACAAGAGUCACGUGUGACUCCCUGCAUGUACCGUAUUAAUAAGCAUCGGCUAACUCCGUG
rnacentral:rRNA from 1 species